rnacentral:rRNA from 1 species
GGGGGGCAAGUAGAGUGGCGCACGGGUGAGUAACACGUAGGUAAUCUACCUUUGGAUUGGGAAUAACAACCGGAAACGGUUGCUAAUACCGAAUAAUGCAGCGGCACCUAAUGGUGACAGUUGUUAAAGCGGGGGAUCGCAAGACCUCGCGUCUAAAGAGGAGCCUGCGGCGGAUUAGCUAGUUGGUAAGGUAACGGCUUACCAAGGCGAUGAUCCGUAGCCGGCCUGAGAGGGCGGUCGGCCACACUGACACUGACAUACGGGUCAGACUCCUACGGGAGGCAGCAGUCGGGAAUUUUGGGCAAUGGGCGAAAGCCUGACCCAGCAACGCCGCGUGAAGGAUGAAAUCCCUCGGGAUGUAAACUUCGCAAGAACGGGAAGAAUAAGUGAGAGUUAAUAUCUUUCACGAUGACGGUACUGUUUGUAAGCUCCGGCUAACUCCGUGCCAGCAGCCGCGGUAAUACGGGGGGAGCAAGCGUUGUUCGGAUUUAUUGGGCGUAAAGGGCGCGUAGGCGGCCACCGCAAGUCGACUGUGAAAUCUCCGGGCUUAACCCGGAAAGGUCAGCCGAUACUGCGGGGCUAGAGUGCAGAAGGGGCAACUGGAAUUCUCGGUGUAGCGGUGAAAUGCGUAGAUAUCGAGAGGAACACCUGCGGCGAAGGCGGGUUGCUGGGCUGACACUGACGCUGAGGCGCGAAAGCUA